rnacentral:lncRNA from 1 species
GCGGGGCUGCCUUUGUGCCUGAGAGCUUAGAACGGUCCCCGGGAACUGAGCUAGUUUAGGUUUUGCUUUAAACCUACUCCUCUUGGAAAUCAGGUCACCAUCCUGCCCCCAUGAACCAAGAAAUACAAAUUCUUGAGGUGCUUCGGGAUCUGGAGGAUGCAGAGUUCAAGACCUUCAAGAAAAUCCUGUCUCAGGAAGAGGUUAGAGCAUCAACCUGGGCACUUCCAUCUACCUCCAGGGAAGAUAUUACCAAUCAGCUGUUAAAAUAUUACGGUUCCGAGGCUCGGAACGUGGUGGCCCAGAUUCUGUACCGUGUCCCUGCUCUGCACCUCCUGGAAAAACUUGGAGAGCUGAGGCUUGAAGAUGCAGCUCAGGGACAGCAGAGCAGCAUCCCCUGUACUAGAAGACAGCCACCCAUAGGAUUAGCUGAGCCAGUGGUGAGCCAAGAGAAGCUAAUGAAGCUGUCUCAGCAUGUAGGACAUGAAUGGCGGACACUGGGAAUAAUGUGCCUGGGCCUUCAGCAGCACCAACUGGAGAGGCUGGAAGAAGAUAAUCCAUCAACCGUCAUGCGAAUCUUCAACAUGUUCCAACUCUGGCGGAACCAGGAGCGGAAAAACGCCACAGUCACCAGGCUCUACCAGCUCUUGUCCCAAGGGAGCAUUCCCAUCAGUCCUGAGGCCCUUGAUGUACUUCUAGAGGGAACUUGACCUGCUCAAAAGGAGGAAAGGGGGCUUCAUGUCUUUUUUUCUGGUUAAGAAAACAGGCUGUGAGAAGAACUUCAUAGAUUUCAUCAGGUUGCCAAAGGAGUGAAGCUGGUAGAGUUUCCCAGACUGCACCACUUUGUGUGUGUGUGUGUGACAUGUCCUUCUACUUCCUUUGCUCUGAUUCCAGGUUAGCAGAUGGCCUUCUCUUUCUCUAAGCCAAUUGAUCCCAAGGAGGAGGUGCUCUGGAGUGCUGAGGAACACCUGGAAAUCCCUGUUCUCCCACUGUAAAUAAAUAAACUGAUUUUCUCUUUGUAACCUGGUCU